ensembl:lncRNA
GCUGAAUAAUUAUUUUAUUGUAUGGUCAGCAGUACGGUGUACAUUUUAGGACAUCGUCAGGUAUCAGAAAAAAAAUUGUCAGGUGUCAGUUGUCAAAAAAAAAAAAAGUCAGGUAUCAGAAAAAAAAUUGUCAGGUGUCAGUUGUCAAAAAAAAAAUUGUCAGGUAUCAGACAAAAAAUUGUCAGUUGUCAGUUGUCAAAAAAAAAUUGUCAGGUAUCAGAAAAAAAAUUGUCAGGUGUCAGAAAAAAAAUUGUCAGGUGUCAGUUGUCAAAAAAAAAAAAGUCAGGUAUCAGAAAAAAAAUUUCAGGUAUCAGAAAAAAAAUUGUCAGGUGUCAGAAAAAAAAUUGUCAGGUGUCAGUUGUCAAAAAAAAAAAAGUCAGGUAUCAGAAAAAAAAUUGUCAGGUGUCAGUUGUCAAAAAAAAAAAGUCAGGUAUCAGAAAAAAAAUUGUCAGGUGUCAGAAAAAAAAUUGUCAGGUGUCAGAAAAAAAAUUGUCAGGUGUCAGUUGUCAAAAAAAAAAAAGUCAGGUAUCAGAAAAAAAAUUGUCAGGUGUCAGAAAAAAAGUUGUCAGGUGUCAGAAAAAAAAUUGUCAGGUGUCAGACAAAAAAUUGUCAGGUGUCAGAAAAAAAGUUGUCAGGUGUCAGAAAAAAAAUUGUCAGGUGUCAGAAAAAAAGUUGUCAGGUGUCAGAAAAAAAUUUUUCUGGCAUAUUCAUAUAAAGGAUUUUUUUUUUUAAAGUAAGAAGCCUUACAUUGUUUCUUUAAUAGUCCAAUUUUUCUUUAAUAUGUUGGUUCUUGCACACCUACAAAAUUCCCAAACAUGUUGUAAGUUUAGGCUUUACAAACUGAAAGUUUCUAUUAUUUUAUUAGUCUGUACCACUUGCUUAAGUGGAAUGGGGAUUAAAAAAUG